GUGGGGAAUAUUGGACAAUGGGCGAAAGCCUGAUCCAGCCAUGCCGCGUGUGUGAAGAAGGUCUACGGAUUGUAAAGCACUUUAAGUUGGGAGGCAGGGCAGUAAGUUAAUACCUUGCUGUUUUGACGUUACCGACAGAAUAAGCACCGGCUAACUUCGUGCCAGCAGCCGCGGUAAUACGAAGGGUGCAAGCGUUAAUCGGAAUUACUGGGCGUAAAGCGCGCGUAGGUGGUUUUGUAAGUUGGAGGUGAAAUCCCCGGGCUCAACCUGGGAACUGCCUCCAAAACUGCAUGACUAGAGUACGGUAGAGGGUAGUGGAAUUUCCUGUGUAGCGGUGAAAUGCGUAGAUAUAGGAAGGAACACCAGUGGCGAAGGCGACUACCUGGACUGAUACUGACACUGAGGUGCGAAAGCGUGGGGAGCAAACAGGAUUAGAUACCCUAGUAGUCC
rnacentral:rRNA from 1 species